GCCUACGGGGGGCAGCAGUAGGGAAUCUUCCACAAUGGGCGAAAGCCUGAUGGAGCAACGCCGCGUGGGUGAAGAAGGUCUUCGGAUCGUAAAACCCUGUUGUUAGAGAAGAAAGUGCGUGAGAGUAACUGUUCACAUUUCGACGGUAUCUAACCAGAAAGCCACGGCUAACUACGUGCCAGCAGCCGCGGUAAUACGUAGGUGGCAAGCGUUAUCCGGAUUUAUUGGGCGUAAAGGGAACGCAGGCGGUCUUUUAAGUCUGAUGUGAAAGCCUUCAGCUUAACCGGAGAAGUGCAUUGGAAACU
rnacentral:rRNA from 1 species